GUCUCGGUAGCUUAGUUGGAAAAGCAAUUGUCUAGCGAGAAAUGGUUGUAAGUUCAAAUCUUACAUGAGCUA
rnacentral:tRNA from 1 species